rnacentral:rRNA from 1 species
CUUCCGGUACCGUCAGUAGUUACGGUAUUAAUCGUAACCGUUUCGUUCCGGCUGAAAGAGCUUUACAACCCGAAGGCCUUCUUCACUCACGCGGCAUGGCUGGAUCAGGGUUGCCCCCAUUGUCCAAAAUUCC